GCACAAUCUGUGUCAGGCUCACAGUGGCUUUUAUCUCAAAGAAAUACAUGUAAUGAAUUAAGAGUAGCAUCUCCACGUGUUUCUCUUGAGAUCUGUGGCCCCACCCCAUGAAACAGUGCUGCCCACAAUUCGGGAGAAGAAGGUGAAGGUACGGGCAUGAAGAGGAAGAGUGUCUCUGAAUGGAUGGCCGAAAUGUCCUGGAAAAUAACCACAAAGCUUCCUGAGACAAAAAAGUAGAAGACUAAGAUUUGAAGAUGACCCCAAAUGGCAAACAUGGUGGACUAUUAUUCUGUGAAUAAAGUUACAUAGCACAGGCCAACCCUGUAGGACUCAGAGAAGACAGAGAAUUGCCCACAUCAGAACCCAGAUCUAGAAAAUAAGCAGAGAACCUUUGCUUCGUUGUCAAGAAUUUAUAAUAUACCCAGAGCUUAAGAAGGAGGCUGGCCAAGGCGAUUCUCUGAUAUCCAGUUGGGUGAAGUACCUGGGAUCAUAUCUGUGGAGCUCUGAAUGGAGUUGUGAAGGCCAAGGGAGCUAGUUACCCUUGUUUGGAAGGCUAGGGAUCCAGGUUUCCUCUUGCAGGAGGCUGAGCCAUUCCUGGAUUAGGUGCUGAUUAGUAGCCAUGCAAAUUUCUUGCCUUGUCAUUCCAGCCCAAAGUGAACUCCCCACCCUUAGAUAUGGUCUUGCUUGUCUUAUAAUGACCUAAUUCAUUGCACGAUAAGCAUGCCCAAAACUUUAACUGAGAAUGAAACACUUA
rnacentral:lncRNA from 1 species